AGUGAACGCUGGCGGUAGGCCUAACACAUGCCAGUCGAACGGCAGCACAGUAAGAGCUUGCUCUUACGGGUGGCGAGUGGCGGACAGGUGAGGAAUACAUCGGAAUCUACUUUUUCGUGGGGGAUAACGUAGGGAAACUUACGCUAAUACCGCAUACGACCUACGGGUGAAAGCAGGGGAUCUUCGGACCUUGCGCGAUUGAAUGAGCCGAUGUCGGAUUAGCUAGUUGGCGGGGUAAAGGCCCACCAAGGCGACGAUCCGUAGCUGGUCUGAGAGGAUGAUCAGCCACACUGGAACUGAGACACGGUCCAGACUCCUACGGGAGGCAGCAGUGGGGAAUAUUGGACAAUGGGCGCAAGCCUGAUCCAGCCAUACCGCGUGGGUGAAGAAGGCCUUCGGGCUGUAAAGCCCUUUUGUUGGGAAAGAAAAGCAGCAGGUUAAUACCCCGCUGUUCUGACGGUACCCAAAGAAUAAGCACCGGCUAACUUCGU
rnacentral:rRNA from 1 species